UACAGAGGGUGCAAGCGUUGUUCGGAAUUAUUGGGCGUAAAGCGCACGUAGGCGGAUCUUUAAGUCAGAGGUGAAAUCCCAAGGCUCAACCUUGGAACUGCCUUUGAUACUGGGGAUCUUGAGUCCGGGAGAGGUGAGUGGAACUGCGAGUGUAGAGGUGAAAUUCGUAGAUAUUCGCAAGAACACCAGUGGCGAAGGCGGCUCACUGGCCCGGUACUGACGCUGAGGUGCGAAAGCGUGGGGAGCAAACAGGG
rnacentral:rRNA from 1 species